rnacentral:sRNA from 1 species
AUAUCUCUCCGUACGGGAAGGAUGAGAAGCUUCGACUAAGGUUCGAUUCGAGCGAAAGCGAGAAAGCGUUGCCAACGGCAACGACCCGAAGGGCGAAGCGCGCAGCGCUGA